rnacentral:rRNA from 1 species
GACGUGGGGCGCGAGCGUUGUCCGGAUUUAUUGGGCGUAAAGAGCUCGUAGGCGGCUUGUCGCGUCGACUGUGAAAACCCGAGGCUCAACUUCGGGCUUGCAGUCGAUACGGGCAGGCUAGAGUUCGGUAGGGGAGACUGGAAUUCCUGGUGUAGCGGUGAAAUGCGCAGAUACCAGGAGGAACACCGAUGGCGAAGGCAGGUCUCUGGGCCGAUACUGACGCUGAGGAGCGAAAGCGUGGGGAGCGAACAGG